rnacentral:rRNA from 1 species
ACUCCUACGGGAGGCAGCAGUGGGGAAUAUUGGACAAUGGGCGCAAGCCUGAUCCAGCAAUGCCGCGUGGGUGAAGACGGCCUGCGGGUUGUAAAGCCCUUUAGGCGGGGAAGAACGGCCGGGCGCGAACAACGCGCGGCUCUGACGUUACCCGCAGAAUAAGCACCGGCUAACUCCGUGCCAGCAGCCGCGGUAAU